UUUCCGUAGGUGAACCUGCGGAAGGAUCAUUAAAGUUAUAGUCCCCCGGCCCUCUGGGCUGGGGUCUUCUAUACCACCCUUUGGUUAUUACACCUUUGUUGCUUUGGCAGGCCUGCCCUCGGGCUGCUGGCUCCGGCCGGCUCGCGUCUGCCAGAGGACCUAAACUCUGUUUGUAUAUGAAGUCUGAGUACUAUAUAAUAGUUAAAACUUUCAACAACGGAUCUCUUGGUUCUG
rnacentral:misc_RNA from 1 species